rnacentral:rRNA from 1 species
GCUAAGGGGUUCCACCUGUUCCCAUCCCGAACACAGAAGUUAAGCCCUUAUACGCCGACAAUACUUGGCUGGCGACGGCCCGGAAAGAUAGGUAGCUGCCG